rfam:Candidatus Yanofskybacteria bacterium RIFCSPHIGHO2_01_FTLL_41_21 rifcsphigho2_01_scaffold_4638, whole genome shotgun sequence.
GGAGGAGUCGGAUAGUGGUUUAUUCCACCGCCUUGGAAAGGCGGCAUCCCGCAAGGGAUACGUGAGUUCGAAUCUCACCUCCUCCG